CAGCAGCCGCGGGAAUACAGAGGUCUCAAGCGUUGUUCGGAUUCAUUGGGCGUAAAGGGUGCGUAGGUGGCGGUGUAAGUCUAACGUGAAAUCUCGGGGCUCAACCUCGAAAUUGCGUCGGAUACUGCAUUGCUAGAGGAUUGUAGAGGAGAGUGGAAUUCAUGGUGUAGCAGUGAAAUGCGUAGAUAUCAUGAGGAAGACCAGUUGCGAAGGCGACUCUCUGGGCAAUUCCUGACACUGAGGCACGAAGGCUAGGGGAGCAAACGGGAUUAGAUACCCCUGUAGUCCCUGUCUCUUAUAA
rnacentral:rRNA from 1 species